UGGCCCCCGGCCGCCCCACACAGGCCACUGCCUUGCGCACACAAAUUUGUCUCUGCCUCGAGCCAAAAAAAACUAAGCCGACACUCUUCUAAAGAGACGUGCAUUAUUUUAGAGCAGUCAAGUUAUGACUGGUCUGAUUUCCAUAAUGCACGCUCUGCAAACAUCUGCCUGUUAUUUAAGGCUCGGCUCCACUGGGACAGAACAGGGCAGACCUCUGCGGCGGGAUGUCCUUGCUGCCAGAGACAUCCCGGGGCAGAAGUGUGCACAGCAGCUCAGGCUGGGCACUCCUGGCUCCUGCAGCCACAUCCAGCUUCACGCUCCUGAGCCUUUCCCCACGCACCCACCGAUGCUCCCGCUCCCAAGGAAGGAGGGCUCCGUCCCCCUCUCUGCCAGAAGUGCCUGCUCGUGCCAGUGAGCCGGUGUCACCCUUCAGAGGACCCAGCCACGUGUCUCUCAUCGUGGGCACCCAGCAAAUCACCUGGCACCUUCAGGCUGUCUGCCGUUUUUGUAGGCCGACUCUUGAAACCGGAGUGUCCCAAUUAGAUGAAGUUAAAUGCUGCCCUGAACAACAAGCUGGCAAGAAAGUUAUCCCAGCGUUAUUAGACUGCUCCCUCCCUACGAAGAGACCGCAAAUUAGUGUUUACUUCAGAGGCCAAGUAGGCCAGCUUUGAGAAACCAUGCCUGCCCCGCCAUCCCACAGGUUUCCCAGGGGCUCCCGGUUCCUCAGCACACACCUCCACGCCGUGCCCUUGCUCUGCAUUUAGCCCGGGCUCCAUCCUGGCCUGACACAGCAUUUAGCUACUGGAUUUAUCCCCUGCGUGCUGUACUGGGAGAGCAGAAACAACCGAGUCUCUGUACUGCAGCCAGCUGACACAGGCUAAGUCAAUUAGCUGCUAUGGCUGCGAUGCUCAGCUAGGCCAGAUCAAAAGACAAAGAAAGAAAAGCCUCACACUGAGAGGAACCAGGUCCAGUCAACACAUUUGUCUUCGAUACUUCAGUCAAAAUAUCUGAAAUGGGAAAAGAGAGAUGGCUGAUGCUUCCCAAAGCUACUAGGUACAAGCUUGAUUUCCUAGGGCAGGAGAGGCAGAGGGGCCAGGCAGAGCAUUGCAGUUCCCAUUCACCUCUGCUCCAACCUUUGCUUCCAUUCAACAAAUCCUUCAAAUAAACACACAAAAAAGCAGAAUAUAUUCCGUAAGUUCAAGCUAAGGCACUUUCCAUUUCAGAGUGGGCUGCUUACACCCUGUAAGUCUCCUAGUUCAUCCUGACUCAGCCAACACUCUUUACAGCUUGUGCAGAGCAUUCUUCAGGAAGGACACAAAAGAUCACAAUGCACCACAGGCCUCACAUAUCCUCCUCCUUUGGGCAGCAUUAUUAUUUUGCAGAUCUCUGCUCUGUAUCAGCUAUCCCAAGGACUACUGGUCUUCUCACUUUGGCUUUUGCAAAACUACACCAGUCAGCAGGCAUUAUAUCAGAUACCAAGCACUGUGAGUAUCAAGCCCAUUUUUACCUCCAAAACCAUAUAUUUUUUCUUUUGAGAGGCUGACAGUUACUGAUGACAAGGCUUCACCUACAGGUGAACUGAAGGAAAUCCAAACUGGUAAAGGACAAAAGCAGGUCCACAACAUUGAGCUGUAGCUGGGCAGCCUUCAGCUUCAGUUCAGCUCCUUGUGCAGCAGCUGCUGUUGUAUCAUGCCACACUGCUCCUCACUUCAAAGAAGACAACCGUAAGGAGAACUAUUAAAGCAAUUAAAAAAAUAUUAUCUUUAGGAUGUAAUCUACACAGAGAUGAAUGGGAAUAAUUAUCUAGCUGCAGAUUUUUAUGUGUUUUUUUUUAAGGCAAUAGCUGGCUGAACAUUCAUUCUAAGUAGUUACCUACAGUAACUUCCACCUUAUUGAAACACGAGUCUAGAGAUACCAUUUCAUUUCACAGUGUGGGCCACGUAUUCCAUACCAUAUUUCACAGUAACAUCUAUGCUCACUAACCCUCUUUCCACUCAGUUCACAAUCCCAUAAACACCUCUGUAGCAGCUCAUGCAACUGUUCACGUAGAAAAGGGUGCCUUCUGUUUUUCUCAAAGCAGCAAAGGCAGCAGUUCAACAGCCUGAAGUGAGAAGAUCCAGCUCCAGUUUACCAGGCAGCUGUCUGAAAUCGCCCCCUCAAAUUCUCACUGAAGAGCAAGACCUAACAUCAAUAGCCUCGCCUGAGCAUUCUUUAAUCUGCAUACCUUGAAUCCUUUAUUCUUCCUCUUCUGCUCUGUUGUCCCACCUCUGAAAUGGAUAUUAUGCCACACUGUAGACAGGGAAACAGGCCCUGAGACACCAGCUACUGAGCUGAAGUCGUGCAUCAACAAGACUUCCCAAAAUCCUUUGACUAUCCAUUCAUUCCAGGCAUUUUUGAAGGCAAUGUACAACCUCAGUCUAUUAUUCACUUUUGGUUGGAUAGAUAUGUUUUCUGUAGCUAUUACUUGAAGUAUUGCCAUCUCCUGUCUGCCUCCUAUGUGCCCAUGGCCAGGCACCAGCACCAGCUGUCCUGAUCCAGGGAUGCCAAGAGACACUUUGAGCUCCUCCUGAUAGUACACAAAUAUGUGCUCACCCCUAUUAUAAACACCCCAAAAGAUGCAACAAAAACAGAAAAAGGUCAAAGCCAACAGACCUCUUUUCAAAAAAAGGCUUUUUUUGGCUUGAUUAGACCCCUGAGAUGUCAGCCCUGAAGAGACAAACAGAGGGAUUUCGGUUGCAUAUCACAACCCUGAGGUGCAAUGCUUUCCUCUUUAUAGGUUAAGGCUUAAACCAGACACUUGAUUCAAUAAAGGCAGUUAACUGACAUAGAAAUUUUCAUGAAAGAGCUAUGAAAAACUGCUAAAGAACUCCAAUCAAUUAAAAAAACACCUAUUUUAGAAAUUCCUUUGUAAUUUAAAUUUAUUGGGAGGCGGGGUAGGGAGGGGAGAAAUAACCCCAGAAGAAAACAGUUUUACUUUUUUUUUUAGAUUAUACAUCUUUCACCAAAUACUUAAAAAGAAAUCUCAGCUCAUAUUUGUAAUAACAAGAGAUUAUCAGAGUCCUUGAUUUACUGUUGAAGUCUGCAGUAAAGUUUCAUACCUUGAGUGAGGUGCAGCCUAAUCCCUGCAUGUGAUUACAUUUAGGAGUGAGAGGGAGGUAUGCGGGGGGUAGGGAGAAGCAAUUUUUAUUGAAGACAACGCUUCAGGCAGCCCUGAAGCAGAGUGGAUCCAGUUUGAAAAGAAUUGGCAACCCUAAAACUUUUUGAUAAGAUAAAAAUUCAUUGAUGUUGGCUCACACUAGGCCCACUUCAACUCUGCACUUGUCCUCUGUGUUUCCUUGGCAUAUCUGUUCCUUUCCUCUAUCUGCUUUAGCAUAACUUUAUUUUUCUCUUUUAUCUUUAGCUAACUGCACCCAGGGACUGGAGGGAUUGAUUUUUUGUUUUGACUUAUUGUUUGAAGAUCUGUAACUCAAAGCAGCUUCUUGCGCCUCUGAUGUCUAAGCCCGAGCAGUAUAAAAGGUAAAGCUCAUCCUGUGUACCAAAGUGAGCAGGGAUACCAUUUUAUAAUCAGUCAUCUGUGUUUUAUUUUGCCUUUUGGGGAGGAAAACUAUUUUGAGACUUUAUAAGCAAUAAUACUUUAAAUAAAUAUUCUCAUGGCAGAUACUGCACAUGCCAGUUCCCUUUUUAAAGAGAGACAGCUAGUGCUUACCACUCAGGGGAAGAAAAAAAAAGUUCUUAAUUAAAGGAGGCCAUUAUACAUCAGAAGAUAUUUUGAGCAUCACGUCACACUACCAACAGCCUAUUGCAGCCAAAAUGUUACCAUGCAAAUGCAGAAAUGCUCUCGCUCAGAGAUGCGCUGCCAUGAGGCCAGCGAAAAUCCCCGCUGGGAGGGGAAGGCAGGAGACAGAGACGCGCUCCUCAGAGCUGCUGCUGAACAGCCAUCGCUCACUGCCGUGUUAAUACCACCCCGUCCCGAGACACCGAGGGAUGGAGAUGGAUUUCGCUUGCUUCCUCUGCCUUCUGAGGGCCAGACUCUGGAGAUUUCUCCUUUUCCCAGGCAAUUCUUCCCUACCCCCUACCCCCGGACAAAAAUGCCUCUGGGCUGUUUUAAACAAGCAGCUCCUCAGGACGUGGUACAGGGGUUUCUCACUGCACAUGCACAUUUCUGUAUCGUGGAAAGCCGAUAGUCACGGCACACACGGACUUUGUUUACGAUCGCCAGUCUCUGCUAUUCCCUGAAGUUGCCCAGCUUGCUGAAAUAUGGUUACAUAUGCAAACAUUAUCUCCCAAUUGUAACCUCAUUUUCUGCUCUGCUGGACAGCGUGACCAGCAUUUGUCAUCUUGCCGCCCCCGCCCGCCACAUCAUUCAUGUGUCUAUAAUUGUCAUCAAGAUGUGGCAUGUCAGCAGGACUCCCGCGUCCGCUGCUCCCCAUCUCCACGCAGUCACUCAGUCAUUAAAACCCCGACUCAAAGACAACAGCAAAGGGAUCUGGCCUCCCUCCCUAUGGACACAGAGCUUAUGUCCCUGUCAUUUCAAGGCUGGGAAACUGUCUCAUUUUCACUUUGACUGUUCCUUAACACACUAACCAUACUGAAGCUGAAAUUAAAGUCAAGCAUAUCAAGCUCUUUUCCAAGAUGUAAAAGCAUAUAAUUUUUUUUAGCAUCAAGACAGAAGUCUUUUCUGUUGUAAUCCAAGGUUUUGGAGUUUUUCCUCCCUCUACUCUCCUGCCAUCCCUAACAAAUUUACUGCUUCCUCUGCACAGCCUGCUUUUUAAAGUCCGGACUAAUUCUUUGUGGCUCUGGUGUUCAUUCUGAUAAGCAGAGGGAUGCUCGUAAAGCAACACAGAGGAAAGAGUGGAAAGAUACAGGGAGCUGAAGCCAUCACUGUAAACAGAGGGAUCUGCUGCCAUUAUCUGCAGGACAGCUAAAUCAACUUCUGCCUAUCCCACAAGGAGUCUCAAGUAUCUGGAAACAAAUGACAGCCUCCAAAAACUAAGCAACACGCAUAGCAUUGCAAAGGUCUCCAAAACACUCGCCACUAUGAAGACACAGCAGAAAAAGAACUUUUACAUGAUGCUGCAACCCUACCUUUCAACAUCAAACCAUUACUAUGAUGAAAAAGUAUGUUUUACUGUAAUUGCUGCUAAUUUUUCCCUUCCGGGGACUUUUGUGUUCGUUUACAGAGGAUUCACUUGCUACUUGAUACUUUUUCUCGAAAGCUUGCUCCUACUUUGUAGCUAUUCAGUGAAAUUCAAGAGACACUAUUUAGCCCAAAAGAGGCACCUGGAGCCUAUCUGCCAGGAUUUCACCCCGUGCAGCCCACUCCAUAACCUGCACAGGCAGCAUUCCGUGCCCAAGCAGAGGCACAGCUUCUCCUCAUGCUGGAUUCUCUGGUAACCACAUUAGAGAGAGCCAGCGACCCUGCCAACCAACCUCAGCCACUCCUGACAUCAGGAACUGAAAUCCUUUUGAGGUGACUACCUGCAGGACCACAACAAACUGAGUUUUAAGUGUGGCUGUGGUGUGGGGACCGUGCAGCCACCAGCUGUGGCCACAGUGUAUCAGCUGUAGCUACAGAGGUGUGAAGAAACAAAAGAAAAGGCCACAGAUGACCUGGCUAACCCUGGCAGGGCAGCAGCACCGGGGCACACUGCUUAGGAAGCUGAGAGCUGUGCUCCAGUGAACACAGCCUGGCUGCACUGUAGUGUGGUAAAAUAGAAGAUAUUUCAGGAAGCUCAGGGAAAAGUUUAAAGCUUCCAGCUGCAAAUGAGCCAGCACCUCCUUGUAAACCAUUCUUCCCACCAGAGGCUGCUGAGGCACAGGGCAAGGACAUCACUGGCAGGUGCCCACCACAGCUGGAAGAGGCAGACAGAUGCCAUUGCUGCCAAGAUGCCAUCCCAAAAAGCUGCUCUCAGGUCUUCCCAUCCCUACAGUAAACCCCAAAAAUCCCACCACACCAGUGCCAGGGCAGCUGACGGAGAAAGCCUGGCUGGUCAUUCCCAGCACAUUGUGUGCAGGAGCUGGGAAUCAAUGGCAGGUUCCCAGGAGAGGGAGUGCACCCCGCUCGUUAUCUAAUUGUGUUUGCACUGAACUUCUGACAGGGAGGGAGACAAAAGUGGGGGGUGAAAAUAAUGAUACUGAGGGUAAAUAGCCUGCUCCCCUGCAGGGAAGAGAGCAAACAGAAAGCCAAGUGGGAAGAUAUGGGUGCUAUUGUGUGGCAGGGAGGGAAAAUGAGAAAACACAAAGUCUGUUUUUUGACAAAACCUUUUUUGGGCUAAUUCUCUUAGGCCCCUUCUUGCUUUUAUUUAGAAACUUCAGUAGAUUGUUUGCUCCUUCAUUCAAAGGCUGGGUAUGAAACACAGGCACAGCCAGCAUUGACACAAACUUUCUUCCUAUCUGCACUGGCUUCAAUCUUCUCAUUUUCCCUCCCUCCACCACACACAUCUCGGUUUUUACUUUCUCAGACUUCUCAUUUGCUUUCAUUAAAAAAACCUAAAACCAACGUAAGAAACACAUGUUUAGAAGUGAGCUGUCUUUCAGGUGAAUUCCCAAAGUGAACUCAGGAAAUACGGAUUUUAUUCCCACCUCUGCCAUCACCUUCCUCUAAGGCUCCGAACAAAUGUUGCUUCUUCGGGGCCUCAUUUGCAGAAGUCUCCUCCCAGACUGUGCCUUUGCUUUUGGGAGUGGAGUGGGGGGAAGCAGAGGACAUCCACACACACAAACACACACAUAACCCCAGUGCCAGGGACACUUCCCAGGAAUCUGCCCGCGGUCACUGAUGCACCGCAAUCUCCACGGGUCACGUCCUCACGCUACACUCUAGGCUGGGCAAUUAUACACAGAAUUUACCUAUUUCAUGCUUAAUUGCACAGGCACAAACUUUUCCUCCAGCCCCAAAAUAGCUAUAACUUACCAGCGGCACUUCUGUUACCACAGGCACCUCUGCCAGUCCUGGCUUAACCUCCUAGGAUCAAAUCUGAGCCACUGGAUUAACCAGCCAACCCCUCCUGGGAGAACCCAGCAAAGGAGAGAGGAAGCACAGGUAACACAAGAAAGGCCAACAUCAGCUAUGGGCUCCUGGGCUGUGACAUACUACCUCCAGAAGAAAAAUGAACAUCCACCUGUAGGCUCUUCUGCUGACUGAACCUGAAAAAAUAAUUUGUCCACUAGAGGCUGGCCAGAGAGAUUCAUUUAAUGAAGGAGGGCAUUUUUGUGCAGUAAGCACUACUGUGUAACUAUCUGACUGUAUUUACUCAGAGUCAUAGAAGACAAGCUUCACAAACCCACCACUGAGAUCUCCUUCUCCUAGGAAGUCUGCCUGUGCCCCAAACACAGGGGUUUCUGAACUGGCUUUGAUUCAACCACGUUUCCCGACUGAACAUUUAUUGUUCUGCCCCAUUAGCCUGCAUUAUUCUCACUUACACACAUAUCCUUGGAAAGAAAAAGCAAUAAAAGGAAGGAUUUAAAGUGUCAAAGAAAGAAGGAAAGCUCCCUACACAAGUUGUUUUGGAAGCACCUUUGAACUAAAAAAUGUUCCAAGACAGUGUUUUGACCAGCUCUUCUACAGUCUCUUAAUAUUUCCUUAUUACAAAGUAUGAAGUCAUCCUCUUACAGGUCACUCUGAUAAGAUGAUUAUAUUUGCCAGUUAUAAAAAAAAGUGUUUGCAAUAUUGCUGUCAAACUGUCUGGGGAGUCACCUAAUAAAUUAGCAUUUUCUUGUGGUUCUCCUAUUCCAAUUCUUCCUUCUGAAGAUUUACAUCUAAAACAGGAUUGCUGCACUAUUAUCUUAGAAAUACCCUCAAAAUAACUGAGAUAGGAAAAAAAAAAGUCUCAACAAAACCUGAAAAAUCCACACACUUAAGAGCUAAGCUUUUUAAAGUUUCAUUUCUUUUCUUUUGCCUUUAAAUCCAGCACAGCUUCCUUUUCUUCCUAUGGCAGGAGUAUUUAAGACACGAAAUAAAGCGCAAGAGAGAAGGGUUGGAGUAACAAUUUUUUCAAAUCCAACACGUUCAUUUGAAACUUAUUUUUUCAAGCUGAAUUUUCAGUUGUGUGCAGGAGGUAAUCGGGCAGUAAAAACCAGACCAAAAUAGAGCCCAGCAUGCUACUGUCAGA